rnacentral:lncRNA from 1 species
CAUGACCAUUCUUUUUAAAUGCAUCUGACCAACCAUCAAGAUCUGUUUUAAAUCAAGAGGUCCAAAAGAAAUGACUCAAUCACUCAUAUUGGAUCUCCAUAUAAGUAUGAGGUGUCAUAUCCAAAAUCCCUUUACAAUAACGUUUAGAAAGGAAGCCUCUGCGGCAUUUUGUAAUGGUCCUUAAUAAGCAGAGAACAGUAAACAAAAAGAGCAGCGCAAGAAUCAAGAACAAGAACACUUUUAAACAACAUUCUCUCAGCAAUUUCACUCCUCUUAACAGCUCCAAAAGCAAACACCUACUUAAGAUAUGUAGAAGAAACCCAUAGGAACACAUAGCUGAUCAGAGAGGUGCCAACUUCUAAGCUUCUUGGACCCCGAAGCAAAGGUGGAACCACAGAUACCAUCAGGAAGGUACCCAACAGCCAUGAACCAAAGAAAACCGCCAAUCUGCAAAGCCCAACAGCCAGAUGAUCUUAAUAUCUAUACCCAUAAUAAACACAGGUAACAGAUUCAA